GAGCCGGUUAGUCCAUCCCCGCGCUCCGCAAACUUUUCUAACCGGGUAACAAAGUGAGCAGCGGUGGCCGCCGCGAUUCCUUUAACUUCGCAUUCCGGAGGCUCGAGGGGGCUCUGGGACCGAGCGGCCUCGCAGCGGCGACAGAAAUACAUAUUUUACGAAAAAGAAAAAAAAAAAAACGAGUCGCGCGAACCCGUCAAGUCAGAUGUGCGCGGCUUGAAGCGGAGGAGGCUCUGACGUCAGCCCCACCUCGCGCAGCCCGGCCUGGCCGCAGACUCGCCGGUCACUCGCCGGCGGCUCAGGCCGGGAGGGGCCAGGACAGUCCCGGCCGCGCGGUGGACGGAGGGGCCAUUCCUCCGGGCGUUAGCAAAUAAAUUCCAUCCGAGUCAAUAUCGCCCAGCGAACGGUGUUUCUCUUUAGUCACCCGAGAACGAGAGGCACUUUUAAUUAGAAAUUAAUUAAUGAGCAGCUGCUCCUUCCCGCCCCACUGUAAUCAUUCGUCUCAAUUACAAAUGAGACCUAUGAAAGGACACGCUGAAGAUGUAAUCAACAGUUAAAAUUAGCCCGGCGCUGCGCAGGCGGCCGGCCCGGCCUCGCGCUGGCGCGCUCUGCUCCGAGUGGCAGGAAGGGGCUCGCAGGCGCCCCGCACGCGUCUCGUCACUAUUGUUUAAUCGAGAAUCAGCAACGCCUCCCGCCGGUUUCCACCCUACGCCGGAAUGGACUUUCAGAACCCACUGCGGCCGCAAGACAGCCCGCAAGAGCUGGUCAAAAUGCCCUCAGCUGCAAGCCUGCCUCCCAGAAACGAAAUCUGCCUGCUCUUUUGACAGCUCGGUUGAAGGUGAUUGAUGACUAUCUGGAGACCACAGUACACAUCAUAUAAUAUCUGCUGCGUAAUUGCUUUAAUUUACAGAUGAAAAUACGAGUUCUCCGAUCGCGUUGGACCGGAGCGGGCCACGUCCGAGCUGCUUGCAGAGGGAAACCAUCGGAAAUAAUGAAUAGCCGCUCCAUGCAAAUUAUUCAGACAGUUUAGCGUCGGUAGCCGCGAGAAAUAUAUAAAGAACACGAGUCAAAUGACAUUA
rnacentral:lncRNA from 1 species